CAAACAUCUGUAACUCCAGGUCCAGGGAACCUGCUGAACCUGCCACCCUCUUCUGGCCUCUGCGGGUCCUGUACUCACCUGGUGCACAGAGUGGGAAGACGGCCUAGUCAGUAAAAGCCUUCUUGGUACAACCUUGGAUGACCCGGAAAGAUGAGUUUGCAGUGAGGAACUCCGAGAUCAGGUUGGCCCGUGGCUGCCUCUGUAGGGAGUGCGGUUUGCACUGACAGAGGUGUGGAGAACCUUGUGGAAGGUGGGCGGCAGCACGUCCUGAGCCGGGCCAAGGACGCGUGAGCGUAAAGAAGAAGAGCUAAGCACAACAGGAGGCGGGCAAGAAAGGAUGAGUUCACUGUCCCUUUGCUCUUGACCACGGAUGGGGUGUGGCCAGCUGCUUCGGGGCCUCCCUUGCUUUCCCUGGGAUAAUGAACCUUAACCUGGAGUUGUAAAGUGAAUGAACUCUUUUUCCCCCUCCACAACCUCUUGCCUCUCUCUCUCUCUCUCUCUCUCUCUCUCUCUCUCUCUCUCUCUCUGUGUGUGUGUGUGUGUGUGUGUGUGUGUGUGUGUGUGCCACUUGCAUGUAGAUGCUGGAAGGGACCAGAGGAGAGUGUCACAUCUCCUGGACCUGCAGUUACAGUCAGCUUUAUGGAUGAUGGGAACUGAACCCAAGCCAUCUGCAAUAGCAGCUGGGGUUCGUAGUGGUGAGCUGUCUCUCCGGACCCUGGAAGGCACUCUGAAUCUUCUUUUUUUUUUUGCUGUGCAGGGUUUCCCCCACUAUAACUCUCCCACCUAAAGUUGCCAGGUUAAACAAACAACAACAACCACGGAAGAAAGGACAGUUAAAUCUGAAUUUCAAAGAGGUUCGUCCUUCUUUUCUGAGGAAACUCUGCAUGGGGAAUGCCGGUAACCAACAUGGACCCCCGGGGAUGUAAACCCUCACGAUGUCAAAAGUAGGACAAAGGACUGGAACCAAGUUUCAGCCCUCUCCUCUAGAAGGCAGAGGCAAACCGGAGGUUGAACAAUAAUAGAGGGGUGCAUCGUGACUGUUGUCUCUCCCGCAAGAUUUAGAGGGCCUAAG